rnacentral:rRNA from 1 species
GUCUCUCUUGAGUGGAUCCUGAGUACGACGGAGCACGUGAAAUUCCGUCGGAAUCUGGGAGGACCAUCUCCUAAGGCUAAAUACUCUCUAGUGACCGAUAGUGAACCAGUACCGUGAGGGAAAGGUGAAAAGCACCCCGGAAGGGGAGUGAAAUAGAACCUGAAACCGUGUGCUUACAAGUAGUCAGAGCCCGUUAAUGGGUGAUGGCGUGCCUUUUGUAGAAUGAACCGGCGAGUUACGAUUUGAUGCAAGGUUAAGCAGUAAAUGUGGAGCCGUAGCGAAAGCGAGUCUGAAUAGGGCGUUUAGUAUUUGGUCGUAGACCCGAAACCAGGUGAUCUACCCUUGGUCAGGUUGAAGUUCAGGUAACACUGAAUGGAGGACCGAACCGACUUACGUUGAAAAGUGAGCGGAUGAACUGAGGGUAGCGGAGAAAUUCCAAUCGAACCUGGAGAUAGCUGGUUCUCUCCGAAAUAGCUUUAGGGCUAGCCUCAAGUGAUGAUUAUUG